UAUUGGUCAAUGGGCGGGAGCCUGAACCAGCCAAGUCGCGUGGGGGAAGACGGUCCUACGGAUUGUAAACCUCUUUUGCCGGGGAGCAACGGGGUCCUUGCGAGGGCCCAAUGCGAGUACCCGGAGAAAAAGCAUCGGCUAACCCCGUUCCAUCAGCCGACGUACUACGGAGGAUGCGAGCGUUAUCCGGAUUUAUUGGGUUUAAAGGGUGCGUAGGCGGGCUGUUAAGUCAGCGGUCAAAUGUCGGGGCUCAACCCCGGCCUGCCGUUGAAACUGGCGGCCUCGAGUGGGCGAGAAGUAUGCGGAAUGCGUGGUGUAGCGGUGAAAUGCAUAGAUAUCACGCAGAACUCCGAUUGCGAAGGCAGCAUACCGGCGCCCUACUGACGCUGAGGCACGAAAGCGUGGGUAUCGAACAG
rnacentral:rRNA from 1 species